UGCCGGUGAUGAGUCGCCAUGCUAAUACCGAUGCACCAGCCUGUGUUCUGUCACCUGGCUCUGGGUGGAAAUGAGUUAACCUCAACUUCUCGACACAGUGUGUGUGGAGG